AUCUGCAUUAGGAUCUGCCUUAGAGACACUCACUGGAGCUGUAAAUGGAAGCAGGUCACUUACUUUGCAUUCGUCCUUGGUGGUCACCCCAGGGUCUCUAGAGUGAAAAUUACUCAAUCUAUGGAUUAAACAGAAAAUUUAGUUUUAUGAAGUGCAAUUUGGGACAUUCUUCCAGUUGUCGGCAACUUUGUGAAAAGGGCUGGAAACUAAAAUGCAGAAUUCUGGCCUGGUGUUUGGUCUGUGCUGUCUUUGACUCUUGCAUCUCCAUCAUCCUGACCCUCUUUAGCAGCCUGUCCAUGUAUUUAUUCGGAGGCCACCAUGAGCACCCAUCUGCAUAAUAUGACUUUGUUA